rnacentral:siRNA from 1 species
UUGAUGAGUUCAGCUGAUGCU